rnacentral:rRNA from 1 species
GUGCCAGCAGCCGCGGUAAUACGUAGGUGGCAAGCGUUGUCCGGAAUUAUUGGGCGUAAAGCGCGCGCAGGCGGUCCUUUAAGUCUGAUGUGAAAGCCCACGGCUCAACCGUGGAGGGUCAUUGGAAACUGGGGGACUUGAGUACAGAAGAGGAAAGCGGAAUUCCACGUGUAGCGGUGAAAUGCGUAGAGAUGUGGAGGAACACCAGUGGCGAAGGCGGCUUUCUGGUCUGUAACUGACAACUGACGCUGAGGCGCGAAAGCGUGGGGAGCAAACAGGAUUAGAUACCCUGGUAGUCC